UACGUAGGGGGCUAGCGUUGUCCGGAAUCAUUGGGCGUAAAGAGCGUGUAGGCGGCUCGGUAAGUCCGCUGUGAAAGUCGGGGGCUCAACCCUCGAAUGCCGGUGGAUACUGUCGAGCUAGAGUGCGGAAGAGGCGAGUGGAAUUCCUGGUGUAGCGGUGAAAUGCGCAGAUAUCAGGAGGAACACCGAUUGCGAAGGCAGCUCGCUGGGACGUUACUGACGCUGAGGUGCGAAAGCGUGGGGAGCAAACAGG
rnacentral:rRNA from 1 species